CCUACGGGUGGCAGCAGUGAGGAAUAUUGGUCAAUGGGCUUUCGCCUGAACCAGCCAAGUAGCGUGAAGGAUGACUGCCCUAUGGGUUGUAAACUUCUUUUAUCUGGGAAUAAUGUGCGCUAUGUGUACUGCUUUGCAUGUACCUUGUGGAUAAGGAUCCGCUAACUCCGUGCCCGCCUCCGCGGUAAGCAGGAGGGUCCGGACGUUAUCCGGAUUUAUUGGGGUUAAAGGGAGCGUAGGCCGGAUUGCCAGGUCGGUGGUAAAGUUGCGGGGUCAAACCUAACCUUGCAGUUGAUACUGGCAUUCUUGAGUGGGCGAGAGGUAGGCGGAAUGCGUGGUGUAGCGGUGAAAUGCAUAGAUAUCACGAAGAACUCCGAUUGCGAAGGCAGCAUGCCGGAGCGGAACUGACGCUGAUGCUCGAAAGCGUGGGUAUCGAACAGGAUUAGAUACCCUGGUAGUC
rnacentral:rRNA from 1 species